rnacentral:lncRNA from 1 species
AGCGUUUGCCUCCGUAUUUCCAGCGGCGCGAGGGAAGUGGGUGAUUACCCUGCGGUUUUGUUUCUCAAAAAGCUCGGGCAAAAGCAGCGGCCGGCAAGGCUAGUGUUUGUCUGUGUGUUGUUUCCAUAUUGCUGCUCGGGACCUCAGUCCCUUGGGGCUGGGGCAGUGUUCCGAGAACAGCGGUCCCCGAGGCACUCUGACAGUUUCACCACUGCCACCGGGAUGAACCAAAGGCCAGAAGGGGAGCGGGGACACCCCGUAGAAGCCCCCCACAGCACCGGGCAGCGAUGGGAGAGAGAAGAGCCGCGGCCGCUCAGGAAUAUAUGGCAGGCAACUUUAUUUAAAGUGCCGGGCGUGGGGCCCAAAGUUUUAGCUCUUUGGAGUGAAGAGGAAGCAUUUUCUGCGCGGGAGGACACAUACGUCAUUGCAUAUCAGGACUCGACUUCCUCUAAACAGAUUUAAACCAGCAGUGAAAGCUCGGAACCAAGGUGCCCCUUGACAGGUGUUCAGGGUGGGCUGUGUUCCCGUCGCGUGAAACCAGAGCACGUCGGAGGAACGGAUUUCUCAGACGAGUCUUCCACAGAGUGGCCGAACCUUGAGAAAUGGAUGCAGACGUUCUUCCAGGAGCGACGAGGACAGGUUAAAAUCUGCUUUUCAAUGCUCGGGAGGACACGGUGGCCAGAGGUGCUCCUCCCUGCGACUCGCUGCAAGUUGCAAAAUCUUCUCCCAGACUGAGAGCAGCCUAAGAACUGGUUUUCAGAAGCCGAGGCGGUAAAUUUGUCACUGUCUUUAAAUAAGUCUUGCCUGCUGAGGUUCAUCAUCGCGUCAACCCGACGGAGCACGAGGAACGCCUGCCCAGAAUUCACCCAGAGCAAAAGCCUCCAAGUACAUGGAAGGCAGCGGUUUCGUAAAUCGCGUUACAAAGAGACCAAACUUCUGUUGGAGAAAAAUUAUCAUUCCGCUGUUAUCUUUAAUGCAAUCUUUUAAAAGAAGCCAAUCAUUUUUACUAAAAACAUCAUUUGAAUUUUAUCUUUGCUAAAAUGCUGGGGAGGAGGGGCGGAGUCUGACCUAACCAUAUAAUCUUCCCCAACCUGCGGACUAAUCAAUUUUGACGGCAGAAGUGAUACGGGGUGUUGGAAGUUAACCAGAUUUGCCACAGGUAAAUGGAGGUCCCAGG